rnacentral:pre_miRNA from 1 species
CUAGCAACACUAUCCUAAUGCUGUUAGAGUAAGUGGUAAAGCUCCAGCAUCAGUGAUUUUGUUGUUAG